rnacentral:rRNA from 1 species
GGCGAUCAGAUACCGCCCUAGUUCUGACCGUAAACGAUGCCAACUAGCGAUCCGCCAGUCGACUCAUCGCUCUGGUGGGGAGCUUUCCGGAAACGAAAGUCUUCCGGUUCCGGGGGAAGUAUGGUUGCAAAGCUGAAACUUAAAGGAAUUGACGGAAGGGCACCACCAGGAGUGGAGCCUGCAGCUUAAUUUGACUCAACACGGGGAAACUCACCCGGCCCGGACACCGUAAGGAUUGACAGAUUGAUAGCUUUUUCAUGAUUCGGUGGAUGGUGGUGCAUGGCCGUUCUUAGUUCGUGGAGCGAUUUGUCUGGUUUAUUCCGAUAACGAGCGAGACUCUGGCCUACUAAAUAGUUGACGCAUUGCCACUGUGCGCACAACUUCUUAGAGGGAUUUUCGGUGUUUUCAACCGCACGAAAUUGAGCAAUAACAGGUCUGUGAUGCCCUUAGAUGUCCGGGGCUGCACGCGCGCUACACUGGCAAACGCAACGUGCCUGUCCUGCCCCGAAAGGAGCGGGUAAACCCCUGAAAUUUUGCCGUGAUUGGGAUCGGACAUUGCAACUAUUGUCCGUGAACGAGGAAUUCCUUGUAGGGGCGAGUCAUCAACUCAUCCCGAAUACGUCCCUGCCC